rnacentral:rRNA from 1 species
UACGUAGGGUCCGAGCGUUGUCCGGAAUUACUGGGCGUAAAGAGCUCGUAGGCGGUUUGUCGCGUCUGCUGUGAAAACUCGGGGCUUAACUCCGGGCCUGCAGUGGGUACGGGCUGACUAGAGUGCGGUAGGGGAGACUGGAAUUCCUGGUGUAGCGGUGAAAUGCGCAGAUAUCAGGAGGAACACCGGUGGCGAAGGCGGGUCUCUGGGCCGUAACUGACGCUGAGGAGCGAAAGCGUGGGGAGCGAACAGG